GGCCGCGGGAAUUCGAUUCAGGCCUAACACAUGCAAGUCGAGCGGGGUUUUCGGACCUAGCGGCGGACGGGUGAGUAAUGCGUAGGAAGCUGCCCGAUAGAGGGGGAUACCAGUUGGAAACGACUGUUAAUACCGCAUAAUGUCUACGGACCAAAGUGUGGGACCUUCGGGCCACAUGCUAUCGGAUGCGCCUACGUGGGAUUAGCUAGUUGGUGAGGUAAUGGCUCACCAAGGCGACGAUCUCUAGCUGGUUUGAGAGGAUGAUCAGCCACACUGGAACUGAGACACGGUCCAGACUCCUACGGGAGGCAGCAGUGGGGAAUAUUGGACAAUGGGCGCAAGCCUGAUCCAGCCAUGCCGCGUGUGUGAAGAAGGCCUUCGGGUUGUAAAGCACUUUCAGCGAGGAGGAAGGGUGGUGUGUUAAUAGCACAUCAUCUUGACGUACUCGCAGAAGAAGC
rnacentral:rRNA from 1 species